AUCUAAAGAUUUGUUUUUUAAAAUAAAUUAUAUUUGAAAAAUAAUUGAGAAGAUAAGUAAACAAAAUAAACUUCGGAAAGGCUAGGAUGUACGAUUAACACCUCGAUUAUAAGCGUGCAAACAAUAUUAUGUUAAUAAAAUAUAGGGUAAACUUCAAAUACCACUCCUAUGGUUUCGCACUUUCUCACUUUAGUUUCCUAUGGUUUAAAGUGUAUUAAGUUGGUAUUUUGUAGUUUCAUUUUUAUCUUUUCAUCAGCUUUUCCGUUAAUAUUUCGUUAAAUUAUAUAUAAAAAAACUUCAGAUACCCCACUUAGAUUUACCGAAUAUUCACUUUAGUAACCUUUAGUUUUAACUUUAUAACUGAUUUAAUGAAAAAAUUAGUAGAAUCGAUAAUAAAAAGAUAAAAAUAAAACCACAGGGUACUAAAUUUAUACACUUUAAAUCAUAGGAUACUAAAAUGAGAAAGUGUGAAACUAGGGAGGUAUUUGAAAUUUGUCCUAAAAUAUAUGCUAGUAUAACAUUAAAAU
rnacentral:lncRNA from 1 species